rnacentral:rRNA from 1 species
UACGAACUGUGCGAACGUUAUUCGGAAUCACUGGGCUUACAGGGUGCGUAGGCGGCUUGUUAAGUAGGGUGUGAAAGCCCCCGGCUCAACCGGGGAAUGGCGCCCUAAACUGGCGAGCUGGAGUGAGAUAGGGGUGUGUGGAACUUCCGGUGGAGCGGUGAAAUGUGUUGAUAUCGGAAGGAACGCCGGUGGCGAAAGCGACACACUGGAUCUUGUCUGACGCUGAGGCGACGAAAGCCAGGGGAGCGAACGGG